rnacentral:rRNA from 1 species
AAUCAACGCUGGCGGCGUGCCUCAGACAUGCAAGUCGAACGAUUAAAGCUCUCUUCGGAGAGUGUAUAGAGUGGCGCACGGGUGAGUAACACGUAAGUAAUCUACCUUUGAGUGGGGAAUAACCCGGGGAAACCCGAGCUAAUACCGCAUAAUGCAGCGGCACCGCAAGGUGACAGUUGUUAAAGGAGCAAUCCGCUUAAAGAGGAGCUUGCGGCAGAUUAGCUAGNGGUAAGGUAAUGGCUUACCAAGGCUUCGAUCUGUAUCCGGCCUGAGAGGGCGGUCGGACACACUGACACUGAAUAACGGGUCAGACUCCUACGGGAGGCAGCAGUCGGGAAUUUUGGGCAAUGGGCGAAAGCCUGACCCAGCAACGCCGCGUGAAGGGUGAAGUAUUUCGGUAUGUAAACUUCGAAAGAAUAGGGAAG